GUUGCUAAAUCAGUUACUACUUCGCUUGACGUAUUGCUGUUGAACUGCAAUCAGUCGUGUAGACAUUACAUUCGUGUGAAUUGGGAGUAUUAAACUUAUUAUUGUUAAUUUAAUAUACAAAUGUAUUUAUAUAAGUAAUAUCCGAGGGAAAUAAGUAAUGUUUUUGAUGUUGCUGUCAUGGACGAAAACAAGCGCAGCGUCAUCACCGCUUCCAAUUUGUAUUUUCUCCGGCGAUGUUAAGCCUGGUGCAGCUAAAAGCAAUGGUUAAAUGAUUACAUUGUGAUUAAAUAUAUAUUUUAAAUACAAGAAUGAAAAUUUUAUCGGAAAAUAAAACAAGUUUUGAAGUUAGAAAAGGA